UACGGGGGGGGCAAGCGUUGUUCGGAAUUACUGGGCGUAAAGUGUGCGCAGGCGGCAAAGCAAGUCGAGUGUGAAAGCCCCGGGCUUAACUUGGGAAUUGCGCCCGAAACUACUUUGCUGGAGUGUGGCAGAGGAAGGUGGAAUUCCACGUGUAGCGGUGAAAUGCGUAGAGAUGUGGAGGAACACCAAUGGCGAAGGCAGCCUUCUGGGCCAACACUGACGCUCAUGCACGAAAGCGUGGGGAGCAAAACGG
rnacentral:rRNA from 1 species